UACAGAGGGUGCAAACGUUGUUCGGAAUUACUGGGCGUAAAGCGCGUGUAGGCGGCUAUGCAAGUCGGAUGUGAAAGCCCUCGGCUCAACCGGGGAAGUGCACCCGAAACUGCAAAGCUAGAGUCUCGGAGAGGAUCGUGGAAUUCUCGGUGUAGAGGUGAAAUUCGUAGAUAUCGAGAGGAACACCGGUGGCGAAGGCGUCGAUCUGGACGAUGACUGACGCUGAGACGCGAAAGCGUGGGGAGCAAACAGG
rnacentral:rRNA from 1 species